AGGGGUAAGCUUAGUGGCAGAGCACGUGCUUAGCAUGCAUGAGGUCCUGGGUUCAAUCCCCAGUACUUCUG
rnacentral:tRNA from 1 species